CUACAAUCGCAAGUGGUUCCCCUUAAGGUCCUCUCAUCCUUAUCCCCUGAUGACUUUAAAAAGGAGGAACCCGCAGUGUCGAUGUCUACUUGUAACUCAAAAAUCGGUUGAGAAAGUGCAGAGAAGAAUGCAAAUGGAGAAGCAGAAUGAAGGAGCGCCAAGCUUCCUGAAUAUUUCCAUCGUAGAAAGAAAGGAGGAAUACGUGUCGGUCCCUCCUCCCCGCCGGAACCAGAGCAUGCCGGCUACAAAAGAGAAACAAGUCUCUGCAUCGUCCUUGGAAGGCUGCCCACAGCUCCUGCAGCUGUGGUGUGGCCAGCAAUGGAGCACAAGAUCAGGGAAUGAACAUGAGGUUUUGGAUCAUCUUAAUAGGUUCUGAUAGAAUAGCAUGAAGUAUCUGACGGGUUCGUUUCAUGGAGAAGUAUGGUAGUGUUCUACCACACCUGUAUGGUGUUCUGUGUUAACAGGGUCAUCUUCCAUGCGAUCGCCUGAUCUUCUCUCUGCGCUAUAAGUGUUUCACUUUCCUCUACUGUUUAUCCGGUAACUGAGUCUGUAAUCCAUGAUCAGCUCUUGGAGCCAACUUGGUUUGAGUCCAGAGAAAAAUCUAAUAAGGAUCUUCUAUCAAGUUGCGCUGCAGAGAACAAAAAUCUUGAAUUUU